GCGGGUUGUGCUUCCGGUACGAAGGUCAGGGACAAGAUGGUGCAGGUGUCUCCGCUUAUCAAGCUCGGCCGCUGCUCCUUCUUGUUCCUCGGCAUGGCCUCCAGAGCCACGCACUACAGUUACCUAAAACCUCGGGCAGAAGAGGAGAGGAGGAUAGCGGCAGAGGAGAAGCAGCAGCAGGAUGAACUGAAACGGAUUGCCAAAGAAUUGGCAGAAGCCCAAGAGGACACCAUAUUAAAGUGAGUGACCCUCCCAGCCCCUCUUUGGAGCAGCAGCGGAUGAAUAAAGCUUCCUGUGUUGUAGGAU